CCUUUUCGGCCGCGGCGCGUGACUGGGCUUGGUGGAGUUUCAAGAUGCUGAUGAACUUAAGGUCUGGCGCUUGAAAGAAUCAGUGAAGCUUUUCAAGUAGAGGAGUACUCUACUUUGAAGAAAGGAAUGGAACAGAAGGUGUCUGCAUAACUAAAUGGGGAUCUAGAGAAAGUGGAGACUGCCUCUGGAGCAGGGAGGAGGUGCCCUACUGUGUAUUGCUGGGGUCGUAUAGCCAAUUGGCGAACUAGCUGAUAAACCCUGGACAGAAAUAGAAACUACAAGAAGUGAAACAAAGUUCCAUCCAAGAAUGAAACAACAACUGAUCACGUGAGAUGCCCAUGUCAUCACUUGACCCACAGACAGGGGAGCAAAUAUAUUGAUGAUCUGGUCCUCCUGCCGGACUGUUGGUAUUCAUCCCUGUAAGUGAGAGGAAGGAAACAUUGCAACUUAAUGGGUGAGUCCUUCCUUCUGGUGAAUUUAACAUCAUGCAUUUGCUAGAUUUGCUAGCCAUGCAGUUAUGGUGAAAACAGGAAAGAUCCCUUUGGGUUUAACUAUAGAUUAGCCAUAGGAUUUGCAACCAGGAAAAGACCUUCAAGAUCAAUUCUAUUGGAACAUGGACAAUUAACAUAAAUAAACUGAGAAACAGACA
rnacentral:lncRNA from 1 species